AUGAAAUGAAAACCAAAUUAAAUGCAAUUCACAAAGCCAUGUGCCAUGUGCUCAUGACCGGCCAAACCUAGAGAGUUUCUAGAAUGUUUCACUCAAAUAUGCUUUCUACACUACUCUAAUUACUAAGCACCCCUAAUGGGCCUUUAUGCAACAUGUACAAAGCUUUCUCUCUUCCAUCCGUGGCUUCAUUCAAUUGGGCUUGAAUAUGCUUAGCCAUUGACCUUGUGAUAGGUCCUAGACGGUCUAGGUCUCCUCCUAGACGCUCCAUGGGUAGCCUUUCCUCUUGACGUCCUAGACGCUCCAUCCUUCUAGCUAGACGCUCAUCAUGGUCUAGACGCUCUUCAUGGUCUAGUGUUGGGCUUUGGCUUUCAUGGUUAGAUGUGCUUGGCCCUCUUCCAUCAUUAUCAACAGCUAAUAUGUAACACCCAAAAUAUUGUGUAUUGAGUUACUUGUUAGUUGUUACGGGUUCUAUGCUUUCAAAGACAAUUCAAAAGAAAGGUGUAAUGAUAUGUAGGUAUUAUAUAUGUAUUUACUAAAAAUCAUUUGUAAUUUAUUUAUUUACAUUCCUAUCUUACUCUCUAUUACAUAUUUCAUUCACCUCAUCAUUUCUUUUA
rnacentral:lncRNA from 1 species